GAUUUUUGUUUUGACAAAUCAAACCGGUGUGAAAAAAAAUCCGUCAGCGAAAUUUCCGAAUUCAGCUAUCUGAAUGGGUUUGCUUGACCUCUGCAUAAUCGUAAUCCAGUGAGCAUUGAUGAUGCAAAAGGAAAGCAACAUACGGGCGGUUCCUGAACAAUCGCUUUCAAGUUACGUUAACUUGGCAGCUGCAAUUACGGCUACGGAAAGAUGUCAACGGAUGAAACCAACGCUGUAUUUGUUGUCUAUUCCAAAUGUCCAUAUACACGAUGAUGGCUGUUCCGGUGAAGUGUUGUUAGCGAUAGGAACGAAGACAACGAUAUGCUUAAUGAGGUGGUUUGCGCGGAAGAUUUGCAAUGUAGAGUCCAGUAGAAGCAGUUCAAUACCAACAGAAAAUCAUCCGGAGUUCGGAUUCGAUCAUCGAACCCUGGGAGGGAGGCACCGAUACUACACACGAAAUAUAUAACAA